CCGACCAACUGGUCGUUGAACCGCCGGUCUCAUGGGCUGGAGAGCUGCCCGCCGAUGGCCUCGACACCAAACUCUUUGUACCAAAAUCCGUCUUCUGAAUUAUACUAGAUUUUGAAUCAAAACCAAAACUUUCAACAACGGAUCUCUUGGUUCUGGCAUCGAUGAAGAACGCAGCGAAAUGCGAUAAGUAAUGCGAAUUGCAUAAUUUCCGUGAGUCAUCGAAUCUUUGAACGCACAUUGCGCCCAUUGGUAUUCCGAUGGGCAUGCCUGUUCGAGCGUCAUUAUCCUCUCUCAAACCUCGGGUUUGGUGUUGGACCCAAGUUGGUUAGUCGACCAACUGGUCUCAAAGACAAUGACGGCGUCCGUGGGACCCUCUUCGCAACGAGCUUCUCGGAGCACGCGUUGAGUUUCAAGGACCCUCCGGGCCGGUCUCCCCUAAAUCUAUUUCUAAGGUUGACCUCGGAUCAGGUAGGACUACCCGCUGAACUUAAGCAUAUCAAUAAGCGGAGGAAAAGGAACCA
rnacentral:rRNA from 1 species